rnacentral:rRNA from 1 species
AUUGAACGCUGGCGGCAUGCCUUACACAUGCAAGUCGAACGGUAACAGGUCUUCGGAUGCUGACGAGUGGCGAACGGGUGAGUAAUACAUCGGAACGUGCCUAGUGGUGGGGGAUAACUACUCGAAAGAGUGGCUAAUACCGCGUGAGAUUUACGGAUGAAAGCAGGGGAUCGCAAGACCUUGUGCUACUAGAGCGGCCGAUGGCAGAUUAGGUAGGUGGUGGGAUAAAAGCUUACCAAGACGACGAUCUGUAGCUGGUCUGAGAGGACGAUCAGCAAAACUGGGACUGAGACACGGCCCAGACUCCUACGGGAGGCAGCAGUGGGUAAUUUUGGACAAUGGGCGCAAGCCUGAUCCAGCAAUGCCGCGUGCAGGAUGAAGGCCUUCGGGUUGUAAACUGCUUUUGUACGGAACGAAAAGCCCUGGGUUAAUACCCUGGGGUCAUGACGGUACCGUAGGAAUAAGCACCGGCUAACUACGUGCCAGCCGCCGCCGUAAGAC